GCCUCUGUAGCUCAGUUGGUUAGAGCGUUGCACCGGAAUCGCAGGGCCGUAGGUUCAAUUCCUACCAGAGGAC
rnacentral:tRNA from 1 species